UACGUAGGUGGCAAGCGUUGUUCGGAAUUACUGGGCGUAAAGCGUGCGCAGGCGGUUUUGUAAGCCAGAUGUGAAAGCCCCGGGCUUAACCUGGGAAUGGCAUUUGGGACUGCAAGGCUUGAGUGUGGCAGAGGAGACUGGAAUUCCUGGUGUAGCAGUGAAAUGCGUAGAUAUCAGGAGGAAUACCGAUGGCGAAGGCAGCUCGCUGGGACGGUACUGACGCUGAGGCGCGAAAGCGUGGGGAGCAAACAGG
rnacentral:rRNA from 1 species